CCUACGGGGGGCAGCAGUGGGGAAUAUUGGGCAAUGGGCGCAAGCCUGACCCAGCAACGCCGCGUGAAGGAAGAAGGCUUUCGGGUUGUAAACUUCUUUUCUGAGGGACGAAGAAAGUGACGGUACCUCAGGAAUAAGCCACGGCUAACUACGUGCCAGCAGCCGCGGUAAUACGUAGGUGGCAAGCGUUAUCCGGAUUUAUUGGGUGUAAAGGGCGUGUAGGCGGGAAAGCAAGUCAGAUGUGAAAACUCAGGGCUCAACCCUGGGCCUGCAGUUGAAACUGUUGGUCUUGAGUGCUGGAAGGGCAAUCGGAAUUCCGUGUGUAGCGGUGAAAUGCGUAGAUAUACGGAGGAACACCAGUGGCGAAGGCGGAUUGCUGGACAGUAACUGACGCUGAGGCGCGAAAGCGUGGGGAGCAAACAGGAUUAGAUACCCGAGUAGUC
rnacentral:rRNA from 1 species